CUUAAACCCCAACAACACGAACCCGAUACCCGAACCCAAAUCCAAACCCCUUAACCAAAGCUCAUCAUCACCGGCCCUUCCAAGCUCUCCGGCCAUGUACCCAUCAGUGGCUCCAAGAACUCAGCCUUGCCCAUUCUCGCAGCUACCCUUUGCUGCGCAGGCACUUCAGUCAUUCACAAUGUGCCCAAUUUGUCAGAUACUCGCACAAUGACUUCUGUCUUAGCCUCUCUGGGUGCUAAAGUUUUUUAUCAGCGAAAUCAUGGUUGACACUGUGGGAUUACAUCUGUUGAGCCUAAUUCGGAAGAUCCGAGGUGGGUUUUUCGUUCUUGGGCCGUUGGUAGCCCGGUUCGGUGAGGCUGUGGUUGCAUUACCCGGUGGCUGUGACAAUGGGGCUAGACCGGUGGACCUUUACAUUCGGGGUCUUCAAGCUCUUGGUGCUGUUGUGGAGAUGAAGGAUGGCAAAGUUCAGGCAUAUGCAUUAAAUGGAAGAGGAUUGGUCGGGGGAAGUUUCCAACUUGAUUACCCUAGCGUUGGGGCAACAGAAACCCUUCUGAUGGCUGCAUGUAUGGCUGAUGGAACAACUAUACUGUCCAGUGUUGCCAGAGAACCAGUGGUUGAUCUUGCUAGAUUUCUGACUAAAAGUGGGGCCUGUGUGGAAGGAGCAGGAAGCAACAAAGCUUGUCAUCAAGGGAAAAUCUCAUUUUCAUGGUUGUAAAUGUACUAUUGCACCUGAUCGUAUUGAAGCAGGCACGUUUUUGCUUGCUGCAGCUAUUGCUCGCUCAUUCAUUUCAAUUUCACCUAUCAUUCCUUCCCAAGUUUCCUGUCUGAUGCAAAAACUCUUGGCCACUGGUUGCAAAAUAAGGCAAUGCUCUCAUGAUACCUUGGAAGUAUGUUAAAUUGUUUUAUAAAUAGCUUUGGUCCCAUUUUGUUUGCUCUGCUUAUCUGCCUCUUGUGGUAAUUUAAUUUCAUGCUGUGGUAUAUUUCUUUAUUACUUCAGUUUCAGCAGUGUCUCAAUGUGGUGAGAAUUUGCGAGGUUUUGAGGUUAAGACAGGGCCAAUUCCCGGGUUUCCUACAGAUCUCCAACCGCAAACAAUGGCCCUGCUAACCACGUGCAAUAGUUUAAGUCCUGUAGAAGAGUCUGUAUUUGAAAAGCGCAUGGCAAAUGGUAUGUGGUAUAUACUAUGUGCAUUCGCAUUUGUAUUAUAUAUGCAGAUUCUCAAUUAAUGAAGGUGUGGAUCAUUGAGGGUUCAUGAUCUUAUUAGCCACAUAGUAUGCACGUGUCCAUGCAUGUUUGUGUCUGUGUACAUGCAUACAUACAUAAUAAACACACAUAAUGGGGCAUUAAGGUGUGUACAUCUAUGUUGUCGAGUCUUGUUCUAAACCCUUACACUGUCUCCAGUUUUUCUUUUAUAAUUGGUUUUUGAUAGUUUUAAAAAAGAGUACAAGGAGGAAAUACUUAAUUCUUAUCCCCUGUAUUCUUUUAUAGACAUUCCUUCUUUGUUUUUCUGUCUGGAAAGAUGAUAAUAUUUGUUACAAAUGACGCUACUUGCAUUGACCUAUUGACCUAUUGUCAUACAUGUUCCCUGCUUUAUACUAGUAAACGAACUGCGGAAGCUUGGAGCAAAAAUUCAAGUCUGUGCAAGCUCUGCUCUGGUUUUCGGGAAAGAUAAUAGAAGUGGUUUGUCUGGUUCCUGCCUUGCUGCAACUGACCUCAGAGGUGGGAUAUCAUUGGUAUUAGCUGCAUUGGCUGCAGAAGGUACUACUGAGAUCAGCAGUGUUGCUCAUAUUGACCGUGGUUAUGAGAAUGUAGAUACACAACUUCAUAUGCUGGGAGCCGAUAUCAAAAGAUUAACGGCCCCUGCUUCUUCCUAGUGGAACAAGUGACAGGGCUAUACAUACACAUCAGAGUGAAGAAGAUUCUAAGAUGGUUAUAGUAGUGUCACAGGUUAAAGGUCCUUAGGUUCUUUAUAGCUGUACAGUGGAAACCCCCAAACCUACAUCAUUCAAGGCUUCAUCACCCUUCUCCAUAUAAGCCCAUUCACAAAUUCGAUCUCAAGUUCAGCUAUUGACAAAGCUGUAUUUUUGGGAGAUAGAGGUGCCUGCACAUCCUUGAUCUAUUUUCUUUGUUGCUUUUCAAACAUUUCAUCAACUUUGUUUCUCUUCUCGUGUUCAUGCUCUUAUAAUUUUUUUUCAGUUUCGGCCUAAUGUUUGUUGAAUUAUUCUCCUGUCCAGGAGGAAUUUGGUUAGGCUUUAGAGUGAAAUUGCUCUCCUACAAAUUCUUCUGGCUGACUUCAACCUCCCAUAGAAGACUCUUCAUUUGAGGAUUUGGUGAUGGCAAAUCCCAUACAGUAAAUGGCCAGCUAUUUGAAUAUAGAAAUGGUUCAAUAUUGCUAGAUCAUUAUUGGAAUUGAUGUUUUUGUUAGAUCCAACUUGUUGAUAUCAAUAUUGUUGAUUGAUUUGACUUUAAGACUUAAAGUGAACAACUAUAAGUUAUAACUAUUGCU